AUGCCACUCAUAAUAAUAUUUAUUUAUAUAUAAGAAAAAAUGAUUAUUGCAUUGCAUAUUGCAUAGAGUGUAUCGACAGUCGUCACCAAAAGCCACUGACACAAAAUCUCCCCAUUCACACUGCCCACCGCAUUCACUCUCCCUCUCUCUCUCUCUCGAUUCUUCUUCAUCGUCAUCGUUCUCUCUCUCUACCAUUACCAAACCGCCAUUUUCUUCAUCGUUCCUUCCGCCAUCGCCAAUGGACGCCGCUCCGUCGUCGUCGUCCUCCACUGGCCCCGUCCUCAGCGUCGUCGACAGGCGCCUCCGUGCUUUGCGCAAGAAGCUCAACCGCAUUGGCAGAACGGAGGAAUCCCUCGCCAGGGGGCAACCUCUCAACAAAGAGCAGGAGGCGCUCCUCAACUCCAAGCCGUCCCUUCUGGCUGCUGUAAAGGAGCUCGAGAAUCUCCGCCCCUCGCUGUCCCACGCUGUUGCCCGCGAAAUUGAACUUUCCUUCUCCAACUUGAAGCGGAGUGUCGACGCCGAAAGGGAAAGGGUGAAGGCGCGGGCUGCGGCGGUUUCAGAUCUUCUUACAAUACUGUAUUUGGGGAAAGUUUUUGACUUGACAGAGGGGCAGCAAUCCUUGAUGAUGAGGAUGCACGAGAGGAGCAGCUGCCUCUUACAUGAUUGCGUCACUGAUGGAGAAGACGAAAAAAAACUUUUAAGAGAGCUGGAUUUGGACCUGAUUAGUAGAAUGCAGGGCUUGAUCGUUUCCCGGCCAAGGGAUUCGAUCUUAUCUCACAAGCAUGCAUUGCAAAAAUGCUUGGAGCAUGCAAUGCGUUGGCUUGAUAGUUCCGACCAGCUCAUCGAGCCUAACGUCGAUGUAACUUAUACUCACUUGAGGGAGAAACUAAAGAGAAUUUUGGCAUCCGACUACUUCUUAGCAACUCCCAAGAGAAGGAUUCCCAUUGAAGUAGAUGCAACUAUUGCCAAUUAUAAUAAUGUUUUCCAGAUUCAAUUGGAGGACUCAUCAAGUACUAGAGUUGCAUUGAAUGAACAAACUCAAGGCUCAGAUGCAGAGGUUGAUCAAGAGGAGGAAAAAUCAUCAUAUUCUGAUGUCAAAAAGAUGGUUGUUGUAUCGGAUUUCCCCUCAAUUGGUUUUUCCUUCACUAGCCCCGUCCUCAGCGUGGUCGACAAGUGCCUCCAUGCUUUGCGCAAGAAACUCAACCACAUUGGCUCAACAAAGAGCAGGAGACACUCUUUAACUCAAACCAGUCCAUUCUGGCUGCUAUAAAAGAGUUGGAUAAUGCGCGCCCCUCGCUGUCCAAGCUGUUGGUGGGGAAAUUGAACUUUCCUUUUGAAGUUCAAGAAGCUUGAGAGCCUUGAGCAGAUAAAGGGAAAGGGAAAAGGCACGUGUGGUGGCUGUUUCCAAUCUUCUUAGCCUAUUGUACUUGGGGAAAGUUUUUGACGUGAAGGAUUUGAUGAGGGGGCAGCAAUCUUUGAUGAUUAGGAUGCACAAGAGGAGCAACUGCCUCUUACAUAAUUCUUUCAUUGAGGCGCGGUGUUGAUUUUGGAGAUCUUUUAAAGGAGUUGGAUUUUGACCUAAUUAGUGUACCGUUGAAUUUGUUUGUUCCUUGAAUUGGGGACUCGUUGAUGUCUCAUGAUCAUGCUUUGCGGAUAUGCUUUGAGUAGAGAAUGCAAUGGCUAGAUACUUCCAACUAGCCUAUUGAACCUAGCCUCAAUGUUACUUUUUUACUUGUAGGAGGAAAAAUCACCACAUUCCGAUGCCAACAAGAUGCAUGGUUAUGACUUAUGAAUCUUCCUACCACACUACAAAUAUUUGUCAGGAUGGUUUAUAUAUAUAUAUAUCAGACCACAUGAUCCAUUCUCAGCAGAGGAUACCUAAUGGUAAAAAGAUAUAUCAAAAUUCAAAGAAACUUGAGAAUGAUUUUGCUCGAAGGAUUUGGUGCAGUCAAUUUUGUUGCCCAAAGUGGGGAAGGUUGGUUAAGCAACCUCAAUCAUAUAUAAGUGUGUUUGGGAGCUUGUUGUGGCAAUCUUUUUAAGAUCAUCCCUGUGAAGUUUUGUAUCUUAUGUUAUAUGCAAUUCUUGUAAUCCUUUUUACUUGAACUCUUA